AGAAAAGUCUUAAUUAAUUUAUUAUUUUUUUUAUAAAAUAAUAAAUAAAAUUUGUUAAUUUUUAGUUUAUAAUUAAUAAAAAUAUUUUUUAAAAAGUUUUAGUUCAUAAAAAUAAAAUAAUACAAUUAAUUUUAUAGAUUAGAGUAAAGAGAUUGAAUGUUGAAAUAUAAUUGAAAGAGUAGGAUUAAUUAAAAAAUAAAUUUUAAAUGUUUAUUUAUUUAUAAUUUAAAGAAAUUUAAAAAUUUUUGAAUUUUAUUGUAUAAAAAAUAUAAUAAAAAGAUUUUUAAAAAUUAAAAGUUAAUUGUUCUUAAAGUUAUAUAAUUUUUAAAGAAAUAGAUUUAAUCUAAGUUAAUUUUUUAUUAUUUUUAUAUUUUAUAUUAUAUAAAUAAUUUUGAAUUAAACUAAUAUUUUAAGGGUUGAGCUUUAAAAUAAAUAAUUAAAAAUUUUUAUUAUUAUUAUUAUUUGUAAUUUUAUAAAUUAAUUUAAAAAAAAAUAAUCUUAGAAAUAGAUAAUUUUUAUUAAAAUGUUUUAAUUAAUUUUAUAUUUUAUUUAUUAUUUAAUUUUGGUUUUAAUUUUUUAUUUAAAAAAAUAUUAUAUUUAUAUAAAUAUUUUUAUAAUAAUUAAAUUAGUAAAUUUAAUUAAUUUAUGUUUAUACAUAUGUGUAUAUAUAUAUUAUAAAAAUGAAAUUAAUUUUAAUAUAAUGAAUUCGGCAAUAUUAUUUUCAACUGUUUAACAAAAACAUUGUUUUUUAAAAUUUUUAAAAAAUAAAGCCUGCACACUGAAUUGAAGAGCCGCGGUAUUUUGACCGUGCAAAGGUAGCAUAAUCAUUAGUUUUUUAAUUGAAGACUGGAAUGAAAGGUUUAAUGAGAAAUAAUCUUUAUUAUAUUAAUUUAAAUUGAAGUUAUUAUUUUAGUAAAAAAACUAAAAUAUGAAUAAAAGACGAUAAGACCCUAUAAAGCUUUAUAUAAUUUAUAUUAAAAAUUAUUUUAGACUAUUAUAAUUUUUAGCUAUUUUAUUUAUUUAAUUGGGGUGAUUUAAAGAUUUAAAAAACUCUUUAUAAAGUGUUUUAUUUAUAAAUAAAAUUUUUUUUGAUCUUUAUUAUUUGGAUUAAAAAAUUAAGUUACUUUAGGGAUAACAGCGUAAUUUUUUUAGAGAGUUCUUAUCGAUAAAAAAGUUUGCGACCUCGAUGUUGGAUUAAGAUAUAAUUUUAGGUGUAGAAGUUUAAUUUUUUAGUCUGUUCGACUAUUUAUUCUUACAUGAUCUGAGUUCAAACCGGUUUAAGCCAGGUUGGUUUCUAUCUUUAUAAAUAAAAUUAUAUUAUAGUACGAAAGGACCUAGUAUAAAAAUAUAAAUUUUUUUGUUAUGCAUAAAUUUAAUUUAAAAUAAAAAAAUGUAAGUUUAUAUAUACAUAUAUUAAUGCUUUAUAUAUUUAUAUAUGUAGAGUAUAUUAAAUAAUUUUAUUAA
rnacentral:rRNA from 1 species